CACCGCCUGUCACACUGUGGGAGUUGGUCAUGGACGAAGUCGUUACCUUAACUGCAAAGAAGGGGAUGCCGAAGGCAAGACUAGUGACUAGAGUGAAGUCAUAACAAAGUAGCCAUGCUAGAAGGUGCGACUA
rnacentral:ncRNA from 1 species